rnacentral:rRNA from 1 species
GACGAACCGAGCGAACGUUGUUCGAAAUCACUGGGCUUAAAGGGCGCGUAGGCGGGUGCUCAAGUCCGGGGUGAAAUCCUCCAGCUCAACUGGAGAACUGCCUCGGAUACUGGGUGUCUCGAGGGUGGUAGGGGUAUGCGGAACUAUCGGUGGAGCGGUGAAAUGCGUUGAUAUCGAUAGGAACUCCGGUGGCGAAGGCGGCAUACUGGACCACAUCUGACGCUGAGGUGCGAAAGCGUGGGGAGCAAACAGG